rnacentral:lncRNA from 1 species
CACACCUCCACACUUGUAUACACGCAGACACAGGUAAGUUGAUUUAUAGAUUUCCAUCAAUGUACUUAUAUCAAUGGAUCCAUUUGUGUUCUGUGGUUUUUUACAAAGCUGCAUCUUUCGGCAACCUACUCAUAUUUCUUUUGACAGGAAGGUAUAUUUAGAAUACGAAGAUUUCUUCUUCUUAUCAUUAUUUGAAUACAUAAUUGUGUUAAAAUGAAGCAAAGAUUUGAAUCCGAAAAAAGAAAUGAUAGUUUUGAAUGGGUGAUGUCGUCGGUCACUACUGUCUGAGGAUGACUGGGAUUUCAAAGUGUUUCUGUUUUCAUUAUAUCAUUUGUGAAACUGAGCAUUUUGAAUGAGAAUUUAAGUUGCAAGACUGGACAUGCUUUUCGUUAUGCCAUGCUAUUACUUUUAUUACAUGUAAUGGGGAAAGGAAAGUACUAGUACAUUUGCUCGUGUCAUUGAUACCAUAUAAAAAGGAAAAUAUGUCUAUUUGAGGGUAGAUUAGCUCAAUCAGGGUCCUGAAUAAAUAGUUAUUUCUGCUGCUAAAACCGCAUCAUGCAUUGUCCGAAAAUGUAAAUUCAUUUUCAAUAUCACAUUGUUAUAGGAGUACCCAUUAUGCCGCCAUAAGUACAAAGGAAGAGUAUUUUCAAAAUUCUGGGACUGAUUACGGUUAGAUUGAAGUUGCAAUUAUUAAUCUCUAUUCAUACUUGUGCAGGUAUAGGAGUCUUAUUGAGCGAGCUAUGCAAGCACGACUUGUCUAUGGAAGCUCUAAUAUGAAUCCAGCUGUUAGCUUUGAAUAUAUGAACUGCCAGUUGGCGUGGAAUGAAUUUUCGGUAAAUUUCCUCUUUGCUUAAAAUGAAGUAGUUGAUUGUUGGAAAAUUUUCUUAAUUGCAAGAUGAAGCCUUGUUGCUGCCAAAGUAAGAUGCUGAAAGCAUCUUUUAAGCUUAUUCAAACAUGCUCACAAUAUUAAGUUGAAGUGUGGUUUCGCCUUUUUCCGUUUCCUUUCUCUUUUUAGGUUUCGACCCC